AUUGGUCGGAUGAUGAUUUUUUUAUGCAUAGUUCAGAUGAAAUUCUGUGAUUACAAUGUUACUUUUUAGUCUUUCGCUCCUAUCUGACGACUAAU